rnacentral:sRNA from 1 species
GGACCCGCGGCCGUGAGCAACCGGACCCUACAUCCCGCGUGGGCUGCCAACUGAGGACCCAGAGUCCUCCGCAAUUUCCGUCUCCAGGGUUUCCGCCCAGGUGCCAGCGAUUUCCUUCUAUAAGUUUUGAAAUGACACUCCAUUUGUUUCUUGUUUGCCAUUCAAGAAGAAACGUGAAGACUUCAAUUAUGGACCUGGAGAGGUGGGGCUGAAGAGAUAACGGAAGUCAAUAAAGUUCUUGGCGAUGGCUCAG